AGGCCCGGGUCGGGGACGGAACGUCAGAAUCGGAACGAUCCCGGGCUAGCGGACACCAUCUCGCCCGGUCCUUUCGGUUCCAAUUAAGCCCACUUCUUCUGGGAUCCAACCCGACGCCUUCUUCAAAAGACGCCGCCGAAGCGGUAGAGUCGUAGAAGCCAGAGUGGGACCCGGGGACCGCGCACGGAGAAACCCAAACCAAACCAAAACAAAACAGAAAACCACGGCGCGAUCUUCCAACUUUUGUUUUCGGCGCGACCGCCGGUUUGAUCGCCAGAUCCAGCCGGGACGCCGAACGAGCCGAGGACAGACGAGCACGCAGGCAAACCUCGCCCUCCCUGGCAGAAACUCUAAUUGGAAAAUAAGUAGUCUGAAUAAAAUUUCGGGAGCUAA